UUACUGCCCGACACUGGUCCCUCACUGGUGUUUCAUCCUCAGUGGUUCAUGAUACUCUCUUGUUUCACGUUACUAGUCUUCAGAUGAUUCCACUUUUGGACAGUUUGCAUAGAUUCUUACUUUCGGUUGGACAUUUUGGACAGUUCGUUUGUUUAUGGAUAAAUGAUCAUUUAUUUUAGACUGCCAAGCCACUCAGCUGUAAGUAACUUUCUGGCUAAUAAAUUUAAUUUCACCUGUGUGUGUCUGCAUUUGGGCCCUAAACCUCUGAACGCUUGUGUAGCUGUCCACCUACACAUUAACCCUACAGUUAAUUUGUAUGUUACUUCCUGUUCUCUCUCUUAAACAAACUAGUUUUUCCUGAUUCUUGUGUUCUGAGCUCACAGACAGUGUCACUGUUUUACCUCCAGUCUGACUUCAGACCAGAAGAUGGAAGAGGAGGACAGAGCAGAGUCUGCAGGAUCCAGCUGUCUGUCUCUGAAGAGUGACCGGUCCAGACGUAAACCUCCAGACUUCAGUAAUGAACCUGGACCCUCAGACACAAAACUGACUUCAGACCAGAAGAUGGAAGAGGAGGACAGAGCAGAGUCUGCAGGAUCCAUCUGUCUGUCUCUGAAGAGUGACCGGUCCCACCUUAAACCUCCAGACUUCAGUCCUGAACCUGGACCCUCAGACACAAAAGAGAGAAAGAGGAGUCCUGUUCCUGUGGAGGAGCAGCCGUCCUGCUGUGCUUUGUGUCAGGAC